rnacentral:rRNA from 1 species
AACAUGGUUUCUUGUAAUUAUUUAAGAGAUCUGACCUGCCCACUGAAGAUAUUUUGAAGGGCCGCAGUAUUUUGACUGUGCAAAGGUAGCAUAAUCAUUAGUCUUUUAAUUAAAGGCUGGUAUGAAUGGUUGGAUGAGGUAAAUUCUGUUUUAUAUUAAUUGGUGUUGAAUUUAGAUUUUAAGUAAAAAUACUUAAAUGUUAUUAAGGGACGAGAAGACCCUAUAGAGUUUAAUAAAUGUAGUAAAUAAUUGAGUUAAAUCUUAAUUUUUGGUUUUUAUGUAAUUUAUUUAAUUGGGGUGAUUGGAAAGAUAAAAUAAACUCUUCUUUGUAUUUAAUAAAUUAAUUAGUUUUAUGAUCCAUAUUUAAUGAUUAAAAGAUUAAAUUACCUUAGGGAUAACAGCAUAAUUCUUUUUAAGAGUUCAUAUCGAAAAAAGAGAUUGUGACCUCGAUGUUGGAUUAAGAUUAGUUAUGGGUGCAGAUGUUCAAUAACUAGGUCUGUUCGACCUUGAAAAUCUUACAUGAUCUGAGUUCA